UUCAAAUUCCUUUGCCACGGUCCGAGCCUCGAUACUCAAAACUUGCCUCUAUAUAAGAGCAUUGAGACCCAGCAAUUCAUUCAGCAUAGUCUUUAGAUACUUGCAAUAUCUCUUCAGUAAGUUGGUUCCAGGAGCUCAUCCAUGGGGUCUUUGAAGGCUGAAAAACCUGCAAUGGGAGCUCAACAAGUUGGGCAAUCUAAGAAGGAAGCUAAGCCUAGCGAUGCUGCACCGAAAGCUUCGGCGUCAAAGUCCAAUUCAGCCUCGAAGAAUCCUGCACAAAGAUCUCAAGAGGUCCCUAAAAAGAGGAAAGGGCGCAAGUCCGCUGCAAAGAACUAAACGAAAAAAGGCUGUUUCCAUUUGCUUGCACGAUGAGCUAAGGCAAAUCACCAUUCUAUGUUAAUCUACUUUGUUGUGUAUAUCUUUGUAUUUUAAUCAGUGUGACAAGAGUGGAGCUCUCAUAUCUGAAAUAAAAAAUAUGUUUCACUUAA